GGUCUUAUGGUCUAGAGGUAUGAUUCUCGCUUAGGGCCAAUCCGAAGCUGCUUGCGAGAGGCCCCGCGUUCGAAUCGCGGUAAGACCC
rnacentral:tRNA from 2 species